GAUGAACGCUGGCGGCGUGCCUAAUACAUGCAAGUCGAGCGAACAGACGAGGAGCUUGCUCCUCUGACGUUAGCGGCGGACGGGUGAGUAACACGUGGAUAACCUACCUAUAAGACUGGGAUAACUUCGGGAAACCGGAGCUAAUACCGGAUAAUAUAUUGAACCGCAUGGUUCAAUAGUGAAAGACGGUUUUGCUGUCACUUAUAGAUGGAUCCGCGCCGAAUUAGCUAGUUGGUAAGGUAACGGCUUACCAAGGCGACGAUGCGUAGCCGACCUGAGAGGGGGAUCGGCCAAACUGGAACUGAGACACGGUCCAGACUCCUACGGGAGGCAGCAGUAGGGAAUCUUCCGCAAUGGGCGAAAGCCUGACGGAGCAACGCCGCGUGAGUGAUGAAGGUCUUCGGAUCGUAAAACUCGGUUAUUAGGGAAGAACAAAUGUGUAAGUAACUAUGCACGUCUUGACGGUACCUAAUCAGAAAGCCACGGCUAACUACGUG
rnacentral:rRNA from 1 species